GACGAACGCUGGCGGCGUGCUUAACACAUGCAAGUCGAACGGAAAGGCCUUUUCGGAGGUACUCGAGUGGCGCACGGGUGAGUAACACGUGGGUGAUCUGCCCUGCACUCUGGGAUAAGCCUGGGAAACUGGGUCUAAUACCGGAGAGGACCGCACUUUAGUGUGUGUGGUGGCAAGUUUUUUCGGUGUAGGAUGAGCCCGCGGCCUAUCAGCUUGUUGGUGGGGUAAUGGCCUACCAAGGCGGCGACGGGUAGCCGGACUGAGAGGUUGGUCGGCCACAUUGGGACUGAGAUACGGCCCAGACUCCUACGGGAGGCAGCAGUGGGGAAUAUUGCACAAUGGGCGCAAGCCUGAUGCAGCGACGCCGCGUGGGGGAUGACGGCCUUCGGGUUGUAAACUCCUUUCGCCAGGGACGAAGCGUUUUGUGACGGUACCUGGAGAAGAAGCACCGGCUAACUACGUG
rnacentral:rRNA from 1 species